UACGUAGGGGGCAAGCGUUGUCCGGAUUUAUUGGGCGUAAAGAGCGUGUAGGCGGCUAGGUAGGUCCGUUGUGAAAACUCGAGGCUCAACCUCGAGACGCCGAUGGAAACCAUCUGGCUAGAGUCCGGAAGAGGAGAGUGGAAUUCCUGGUGUAGCGGUGGAAUGCGCAGAUAUCAGGAGGAACACCAAUAGCGAAGGCAGCUCGCUGGGACGUUACUGACACUGAGGCGCGAAAGCGUGGGGAGCGAGCAGG
rnacentral:rRNA from 1 species